AUACCUAAAUUAGUUGGGCGUCACAAGAUUUUUCAUAUAAAAUUGCACCUACUCUUUUCAUGAUGUACUCUUCUUUUUUUAAAGGGGUAUGAUACUCGUAUGGUGACAACGUAUCAUAAAGGACUAUCGGGUAACGAAGACCAGGAUACGGUACAAUAGAGCAAUACCAUUGGAAGAUCAGAGUACACUAGUGGAUCAACCAAAUAUGAGGCAACCAACAAGAAAAUGGAGGCUGAGCUGGGUUGUAAGUUCUGUCGAAGCGAGCUAUUCGAGAGGACCCACACCAAGAAGAAUGAUUGCCUAAAAUGAGUCGACAAAUGCUUAGAUGAGACUGCUGUAAGUUUUCUGAAUCUUACCUUUAUUCAAAUAUUAAUCAACUAAAGUAUAUCUAUUUAUUUAAAGGACUAAACUUGACAAGUGUUUGUUCAUUAUCUCUUCGAGGAGGAAUUAGUAAAGGUCCUUGAGAAGCGUCAAACACAGAUCGCUAAGGACGGUCUGACCCUCCCCAUUUUAAAAGAUGAAAUCUGGACUUAGACGGUCAACAGUCACAAGAGAGAGAUAAUAUAUGAGGUUGGACUUAUUUGCAGUUUUUCGAUGCUGAUGAAUUCUUCACUGUCAGCAGACCAACAGAUAUCAAGGAUCAGAUUACCCUACUCAAUAGAGAGCUGACACGAUAGAUGGAGUAACACUGGAAGUUGUAGACAAAUUACCAGUAAGAGCGAGAAGAGUGAAUAUAUGCUUAUCAGAGAUAUAAGAGAGAGAUCGUCCACAUGAGCACAGAGUUUAAUGGGAUGAGGACUCAGGUGUCCCAGAUGUAUUUCUUGUAUAUGCAGCACAUGUAAAGCGGCUUCUUUCAACCGUACAUAUGGCAUGCCUCUUUCCCCUUCCACCUCUUCUAUAUCUUUUGCAUCCUCUACCAUGACCACCAUUUGCUAGACCCUCACUGACGAGCACCGAGAGGACCCAAAGGAUCAUUAUGAUGAAGAUGGCCUAGAUGAUGAUUAUGCUUAGUAUAUUUUGUAGUUAGGACUUAUUUAUGCUAUUUAUCAUCGAUUUGUGUAAGAAUAAUAUAUUUUAUUACUUAAUAAGUUACAAAUAAUGCACUAUUUAUUAUUUAUAUUCAAAA